UGGUGGUUGAACCGAUCAAAGUCGUUCAAGGACUGGGCGAUGAAAUCUAUCCGGGCUAAUUUGCAUGCAUUCACGCAUAUUCAAAGAGGAAAAUGCAUCCAAAACAAAUUGUCGCCAGAGCUGAGGGAUGAACUGCUGCAGGAGCUGCAGAGGAGCACACGUCGUGAAGAUGUCAAAACUGAAGAGGAUUUAGUCAGCAUGACGCACACUGCGUUGGUGUUGAUGAGCACCGCGACAAAAAAACUUGAUUUGCAUCAUCUCAUGUCAUUUGAACGUUGCAAUAUUGAUUCUCCACUCGAAUUCAUCGAGGUUCUCAGGGUGGUCACAAUUUCUGCUCCAAACGUCCGGCAGCUGAUAGUAGCCUUUGAUGACCUCGCAGAUUGUUUGAACAAUGGUUUCAUCCGAAACACGUUCAUACAUCAUUAAAGCUCUCUGAAGGACCUGAGAAUCUUAAAGGUCGUUGGAUGCGAUGGCACUUCUGUGGAUAUUUCGCUGCUCUAUGAAAAACUUCCCAACUUGCUUGU